rnacentral:rRNA from 1 species
AACGUAGGAGGCGAGCGUUAUCCGGAAUUACUGGGCGUAAAGCGCGCGCAGGCGGUCCUUCAAGUCAGAGGUGAAAGCCCAGAGCUCAACUCUGGAACGGCCUUUGAGACUAGAGGACUAGGGUACGGGAGAGGUGAGUGGAAUUCCGAGUGUAGAGGUGAAAUUCGUAGAUAUUCGGAAGAACACCAGUGGCGAAGGCGGCUCACUGGCCCGUUACCGACGCUCAGGCGCGACAGCGUGGGGAGGCAAACAGG